rnacentral:lncRNA from 10 species
CGAGCUUGGCAGCUGCUCUCGUCCCAGCAGGCUUUGCUCUCUGAGGCAGUCAUUCCCACCACACAAAGGCAGUUCUGUGCCUCCCAAAGGUGCUUGGGGCAGGAAUGAAGAGCGGAACAGCCCCCAUCAAUCCAAUAGGAUUGUCGUUUUACGCUGGCGUGGAGCCUCAGACAUCAAAAGGGCUGGAGAGUGAAGCCACGUGUGAGCCGUGAAGUUGGUGACCCUGAGGCACAGAAAGCUGAGGGAAUUUGUUCGAAGUCACACAGCUGCUCCUGGAAUAGGGCAUCAGAAGACCAUGAGAGAUGCCUGUUGAAUAGCACUUGGAAAGUGUAUGCACGUAGUAGGCCCUUAAUCAUGGUGAUGGAUGAACGAGAGCCCCAGGAAGCACAGGGAUCUGCUUGGAUCUAAAAGGUGUCAUAGAAGAGACAUGUCCUGGGCGUCAAAGGAACCCCAAGGAGACUGCACCCUAGGACCGGUGGGAAGUGGGCCUGUGAUGACUUCCAGGAGGACGUGCUUUGGGAAUCUGGUCUUGAAAGAGGAGAAGUUGGCCAGGCUGGAGGACAAGAUGGACAUUUCAGGGGCCAGAUGACUGCCCCUGACCAGGGGUCAUGGUUGCAUAAAGCCUGGAUUUCAAACGAAGGUCUCUGCUAACCUUGGGGCCUUCGAUGUCUCUGGUUGGCAGGAGAGGUGCUGACUAAGCGGCUGUUCAUCAUAGCAAGAGGCUGCCUCUUCGAUCUUCUCCACCAAGGAACUGUGUCUCCUCUGUGUGAGAAGCUCCAGCGAGAGAGAGCUGAGUGCCUUCUCAGUGAGGUGGGAGAUGGGUGGACACAGCAGUGGCUGGGGAGGCCUGGGCUCCUUCUGACUCAGUGGGUAAGAAAGUUGGUGGUUGGUUGUUGCCACUGGCCUACGGCUUUUGUCCAGAGAAGACGGGAAUGGGGGUCCAGUUACCCAACCCCUUCAGAACAGAUGGUUUCUCAUGCCCAUGGACCUUGGUUACGGAGUGUGAACAGGAUUCUCCUAAAUAUUUCAACUUCGGAAGACCGGAUUGAAAGUCAUCUCAAUUAAGCAAGGACUGAGAGUGUGCAAAUAUUAUUUGAACGUUGGUUAACUUUUCCUUAAAUGGAAAUGAAUGAGCAGUAAAGUCACUUUGAUGAAUCUUAUACAGAGCCUCUGUCCCAGAGUCCUGAAACUUCACCUGAUGGUCAUAAAGAAUCAAAGUAAGUCCUUUGCGAGGCUGCGUUGUGUUGGGGUGGGUGGGUGAAGGGUCCUUUCAAAUUCUGUAGAUCCCAGUACAUUGCAUCUACAGGGUAUGUGUUUAAAUGAGGGGUAGUUGACCCACAUAACUCCCCACCCUCCUGCCUCAUGGUUAGAAUGUAUGUUCAUUGGGGAUUCUGCAUACAUUUUCAUCACAUAUCUACUUUUCUGGCUUUUAAGUAAUAUCCUCUCCUUUGUUUUUGCCAACAGUGUUCAUGAAUAGUGAAUGUAGGAAAGCAUUAUCAUUGCUAUGUUUUAUUUUCACACUGUAUCUCAGUAUCAGCCCAUACUUUCAAUGUACUAACAACUGUCACUGAGGCAAAAAGUUUUAAUUAAGCUCACACAUGAUUAUUUUCCAGCAAACAGAGCCUAAUUGAUGAAAUUGCUAACUGUACUUCCAGGUGCAGUCAGUAGCCAGUAGUGCAUUGUUAGUAUGCAAUAUGGCAUGGGCUGUUACAUGGUGUGAUACUAGAUUAUAUAUUUACUAUGAACGUAUGUAUUGUUCUUUAAUGACAUCUAUUUGUUCAUUCCAAAAAUAUUUAUUGAGCACGGACUCUGUGCCAGUUAUUAGUUAGAGUAAUAAUAGCUGCUGUGGCAAAUGAAUUUCCUCACCUAAGAAAAAUAAAAGUUAAUUAUUUUUUCUCCACAUAAAGGUCUAGAAUGUUCUGCCGCAUGCCUUCCAUGUCAUGAUUCAGGGACCCAGGCUCCUUCCAUCUUGUGGCUGCCCCAUCCACUAGGUUCUCAGACUCUUUCAUUUCCAACUGGUGGUUGUUGAAAGAGAGGGUGAUGAAGGUGUACCCCACUUACAUCUUACCCACUUUCACCUAGAAGUGGCACAUAUCACUUUUAUUGACGUUUCAUUAGCAAGAAUUGUCCUGCAACACACUUGGAGGAAGGCAGCUGGGAAAUGCUGUCCCUGGCUGUGCACAGGGACAUAUGUAUUUUAUGUAUUUUAUGAGACUCUUUGCAGGAUAGCUGGCUAUCUCUGCCACAGCUGGCCAUGUCUGCCAUGGCUAGACAUCAUUUCAGGCUCUAGGGAAAUAGCAGUGAAGAGAAACAGACAAAAAUAUCUGACCUCAUGGAGCAUAAAUUCUUGAAUUAAAAUUCUUAAAUUCUUCAUGGGAUGAGACAGACAAUAACCAGGCUAAAUCAGUAUGUUGCAAAGCAGUGAGAGCUGCUAAAACUAAGCAGAAAAAGGGGUACAAAGCAUGAGAGAGAAGGAUUUGAGAUGAGAUAGUGUGGUCAUAGAAAGCCACACUUUCUAUCAGCAUGAGAGAAAAGCUAAAGCAGGAAAAGGGGUAGAAAGCAUGAGAGAAAGGUUUGAGAUGAGUUAGUGUGCUCAUAGAAAGCGUCUUGAAAGAAAUGAUAUUUUAAGUAAAGAAUCAGAGAGCAUAAGGUGUCCAACUAGGUGAAUAUCUAAAGCAAAAACAUUCCAGAUGGAGAGAAUAGCAGGUAAAAGGACUCUGAAGCUGGUGAAGAUAAUAAGGGUGAGAAUAAUAGAAGGUGAGAUCGGAGAGGCAAUCGUCAGGCCAGACUGUGUCGGGCCAUUUAGGUCAUAGUAAAAAUCUGGGCUUUUUUUUUUGUUUUUUUUUUUGUUUUUGUAACUAACUUUAUUGAACUAUGAUUUUCAUAAAAUAUACCCAUUCGGUAGGUUUUAAAAAAUGUAGACAUGAAGACAUUCAUAUAAUCACCACUACAAUAAAAAUAUAGAACAUUUUUAUCAUCCCCUAAAAGUAUCCCUAUUUAUAGUUCAUACCUGGCCCCAAGCAAUCACUGAUAUGCCAUCACAGAUUAGUUUGUUUUUUCUAGGAUUUCAUACAAAUGGAAAGGAACAGUAUGUACUCUUCUGUGUCUGUAUUCUGUCACUCAACAUAAUGCUUUUGAGAUUCAUUCAUAUUGUUGUCAGUAUCACUACUUUAUUUCUAUUUACUGCCAUUAUAUGAAUUCUAUUAUGUGGAUAUACCAUAAUUUAUUUAAUCUUUCACCUACUGAGAGGCAUUUGAGUUGUUGAUAAUUUGGGGCUGCUAUGAAUAAAUCUGCUAUGAACAUAAUGUGCAGUUCUUUUUUGUGGACAUAUAUUUUCAGUUUUCUUACAUCCAGGAGUGGAAUUGCUGGAAACCAUAAGGUAAGUAUUGGUUUAAGUUUAAAGAAACUGUCACUGUUUUCCACAGUGGUCAUGGCUUUUCACACGUCCACCAGCAAUGAAUGUGAGUUCCAGUUGUUCCAUAUCCUCACCAACCCUUGUUGUUGGCAGUCUUUUAAAUUUAAACCGUACUAGUGGGUGUAGAGUAAUAUAUUAUUGUAGUCUUAGUUUGCAUUAAUCUAAUGACCGUGAAUGUUGAACACCAUUUCACAUGCUUUUGAUCAUUUAUACAACUUCUUUUGUUAAGUGUUCAAAUCUUUUGCUUGUUAAAAUAAUUUUUUUGUCCUAUUGAGUUGAAAUAAUGUUAAAAAUAUUUUCUUGAUGUAAGUCCUUUGUCAGAUCUAUGCAGUCCAUGAAUUAUUUUCUCCUAGCCUGUGGCUUGCCUUUUCUCUUUCCUAAUAGUACCUUUCAAAGAGUAUAUGGUCUUAGUUUUGAUGAAGUAAAAUGUAUUUUAUUUUUUGCAUAGUUAAUGCUUUUUGUGUUCUAAAGAAUCUUUGCUUAGAUGUUAAAGAUUCUCAAGUUCUAAAGACUUCCUUUUGUUUUCUUCUAGAAUUUAAUUUUUAUUUAUUUUUUUUAGUUCUAGAUUUAACCUUUAGGUUUGUUAUCUAUUUCAACUUAAUUUUAGCAUAUAGUGUGAAUUGAGGGUUAACAUAUAUUUAUUUAUUUAUUUUUUACAAUGCAGUUAUCUAGUUGUUUUAGCACAGUGUAUCAAAAGAACUAUUGAAUUACCUUUUUGAAUUACCGUGGCAGCCUUCUUGAAAAUCAAUUUACCUUACGGUAAAUAUGGUAAAUUUGUAACUCUAUUUCUGGACUCUCUAUUCUGUUCUACUCAUCUAUAAAGCAUUUUUUCACCUAUACCACAUUGUCUUGAUUACUCUUGCUUUAUUGUGAGUCCUGAAAUCAAAUAGUUUAAGCUUUUCAAGUCUAUCCCCUUUUUUGAAAAUUGAUUUACUAUUUGGUUCUUUGGAGGUUGUUAAUUUCUUUUUUUUUCUUUUUUUUUUUUUUUUUUUUUGAGAUGGAGGCUUGCUCUGUCGCUGAGGCUGGAGUGCAGUGGCGCUAUCUCGGCUCACUGCAAGCUCUGCCUCCCGGGUUCACACCAUUUUCCUGCCUCAGCCUCCUGAGUGGUUGGGACUACAGGUGCUCACCACCACGCCCGGCUAAUUUUUUGUAUUUUUAGUAGAGACAGACUUUCACCGCAUUAGCCAGGAUGGUUUCGAUCUCCGGACCUCAGGAUCCGCCCACCUCGGCCUCCCAAAGUGCUGGGAUUACAGGUGUGAGCCACCGUCCCCGGCCUGGAGGUUGUUAAUUUCUACCAAGAAGUCUUCUCAGCUUUUAACAGAAGUUGCAUUGAAUACAUAGAUCAUCUUGGGGGAAAAUUAACGUUUUAACAAUAUGGAUCUUUCCAACUGUGAGUACUAUACUCUCUAUUUAUUUAAGCCUUCUAAAUUUCUCCCAGCAGUAUUUUGUAGUUUUUGGUGUAUAAAUCUUGUAUACAUUUUGUUAAAUUUGUACCUAUGUGUGCCAUAUUUUUGGAGCUACUAUAAAUAGUAUUUUUAAAAAUUUUAUUUUCUAAUUGUUCAUUGCUGUCAUAUAGAAAAAAUUUGAUUUUUGAAUAUUGCUUCUGUAUACUGCACUCUUGCUCAAUUCACUUAUUAGUACAAUUAGCUUUAUUUGAAUUGGGCCUUAUACAACAUAAGAAGUAUUUUGGCUUUUAUGCUGAUGAAUCAUAUGGGGGUAUGAGAGCAAACAUUUUUGGAUCUUAGUUUUUGAACAUGUUAAAUAAAGGUAAACAUGAAAGACUGCUAGUUAAAUGUAUCUGGAAGUCAGAGAGGGGUCAUGGGUGAAUAUGUGCAUUUGAAAUCACUAGCUUAGCAAUGAUAGUUAAGCCAUAAAACUUAUUCAGAUCAUCAGUAUUUAGGAGUUAAUGAUGAGGAAUCAGCAAACCAGUUUGAAAAAGCAACAGUCAGAGAGGUAUGGGGAAAACCAGGUGAGUGUGAUACCUUGAAAACCAAGAGAAGAAAAUGUUUUAAGUAAAUUGCUUUGGGAGGCCGAGAUGGGCAGAUCACUUGAAGUCAGGAGUCCGAGACCAGCCUGGCCAACAUGGUGAAACCCUGUCUCUGCUAAAAGUACAAAAAAUAAAUAAAUAAAUAAAUAAAUAAAUAAAUAAAUAAAUAGCCAGGCAUGGUGGUGCAUGCCUGUAAUCCCAGCUA